rnacentral:lncRNA from 1 species
UUCACUUCUUUUUAAAUUUUAAUUUGGUUUAAUUUUUGGCUUGUAAUUGUGCAUCUGGCUCAGAGAGAGGAAGAAAGCCCUUAGCUACAUUUUUAAAAAUCCAAUCUUGGAUGAGCUCUUUAAGUGAUUAUAAAGUUGACUAAGUGUAAAAGCUUUGCAAAGGCAGUAAUUUCAGACACACUUCUGGCUGCUAAGACAUGUCUGUGUUUCAUUUUCUGUAUAUUUUUAGGGAGCUUAAGUGGGGUGGGUAGCUCACUCAUUGGGAAAAAAAAGGGGGUUUUAAAUGUCAUGUUUCAUUUGGCUGUAUGGAAAAGCUGAGUAUCAGAUGUCCUGUCAGGAAAUAAGAUACACUGAUAUACAAUGUGCAAACAUUUUAUUUUGAAGAACUCCUUCACAGUCUCACUUCAUGGAAGUGAGUUGCCCAACUUAGUCACACAGCAAAGAGCAGUCUACAUCCUGAUUUAGGUUUAAUUUCUUGGUUUAGAGCUCAUGGCAACAGGAUAUCUGAAAGGGAAAGUAUGUUUAAGUUUUUUCUCUGGUUCAAAUAAUUCUUAUCCUCACCAUUAGGAAACACAUCUCAGUACAGCAGGAUGUGGAGGGAAAUUUCUCAGGUGGCAGGUGAGAUCAUAUGGAAUGAAGCAUUUUCAAAUAUAAGCCAAGAUUUCUCACAUCCACGUCAAUCUUAAUAUAGUUUUACCUAACUAUUCUUGGAAGUCCAUGCAUACCAUGAAGCAUUUUCUUCAAACCAAAACAAUCUAGACUUACUUCAAUUACAAGAGGAGUGACCUGCAGAGCAUCCAAGCACGUACAUGAGCAGGACUAUAGAAUGCCUUGUCCAAGCUACUGUUGUAGUGGAGAAAAAGGAGAAGACAGUGCGAAGAAUAAGCAAGGUACUUUCCAUAGAAGAUGCAGGUUAAAUGAACAAAGAGGUAUGGUGAACAUCCCUCGUUUUGGUGGGAAACACAUGGGAGCCUCAUUGCGUCUGGCACACUAUGUCAAGUCAAACACACGAGCUGAAGAAGUGCCUUGCUUUUGCUCAAUUAGGACUGUUUGCUUUGUGGACCUCCAUUAGCAAGUAUAAAUUUGUACAGUGGUCACCAUUUAAAAAUCAAUAUUUACCAAGGGUUAUCACAUCAUCAAGCCUAGGACACUAAGUAGUUCCGUAAACUUUGAGUAGAAAAUAAUACUGCGAUCUGGUAAAUAUUUAACACACGUAUCAUUUUAUGGUAACCACUACUUUUGAUACAGGUGUUCAUUACCUCUUCCUAGCUAAACCCUCCAUUAAAUUACAUUGCACUGGACUUAGGCUUCACUUCAGCCAGAUUUCAGUUAAAGGAAGUGGGAAGAAAAAUACAAUGAAACUGACUUUAUAAUGAAUAUAAUGAAAAUAACUGUAAUGAAUAAUCACUUUAAUUUUUGAUGCCCUCUUAUCCCAAAGCAUAUGAUUCAGCAGGGAUUCUCUGUGGAAGUACUGAAUAGAUGGCUAAAAUAGAUCUAGGUAAAAAGAACUCAGGUUCCUUUUUCCUCUGGGUGUAGUAGGGUAUUUUCUGUUUGGCAAGGAAGGCUCCCCAGUAGCUAGCUACACUGUCCAGUUUCUUUCAGUAUAACCACCCUUCCUUUGAUGUGGAAGUAACAGAUGUUUAAGACAUAAGAAAUUAGAUAGACUGUGAUUACUGAGAAACAAGUUAAUUUCAAUUCAUUACUUGAUGUUCUCAUUCACUUGUUCUGAAAAUGACAGUAGUUAGUAGGGUUGUUGGUUUUUUUAAUUGACAUAUUUUAUGUUUAACAAUCAACUUAAACUUAACCUAUGCACACCUCUAAUUUUGAAACACAUCAUUUGCGAGCUAAUAUGUUACUUUUUCAUCGUAAAUUGGAGUUAUUUCCAAAAUGGCUUCACUUUAAUUAUAUGUACGUGUACAACUUAGCCAGCUUGUUUUCUUGUGGGUAGUAAGAAGAGGUAAGGAGAACACAGGAAGUAACAGAUUAGUUUUUCCUCUUUUCACAAAACAAGUUUCAUUCCCCCUCCAGUUUCCUAAAAAAAGAGGUGUUUCAGAAAAGCCAGAGGAAGGGCU